rnacentral:rRNA from 1 species
CUACGGGGGGCUCCAGUGGGGAAUAUUGCACAAUGGGCGCAAGCCUGAUGCAGCCAUGCCGCGUGUAUGAAGAAGGCCUUCGGGUUGUAAAGUACUUUCAGCGGGGAGGAAGGGAGUAAAGUUAAUACCUUUGCUCAUUGACGUUACCCGCAGAAGAAGCACCGGCGAACUCCGUGCCAGCAGCCGCGGUAAUACGGAGGGUGCAAGCGUUAAUCGGAAUUACUGGGCGUAAAGCACACGCAGGCGGUUUGUUAAGUCAGAUGUGAAAUCCCCGGGCUCAACCUGGGAACUGCAUCUGAUACUGGCAAGCUUGAGUCUCGUAGAGGGGGGUAGAAUUCCAGGUGUAGCGGUGAAAUGCGUAGAGAUUUGGAGGAAUACCGGUGGCGAAGGCGGCCCCCUGGACGAAGACUGACGCUCAGGUGCGAAGGCGUGGGGAGCAAACAGGAUUAGAUACCCCAGUAGUC